CAGCAGUCAAGAAUAUUAGUCAAUGCUCGCAAGAGUGAACAAGCCAACUGGAAUCACAACAACUUGUGAUAAAGUAAGGGAGGAUAAUGACGUUACCUUAUUAUUAGUGUCGUCUAAAAUUGGUGCCAGAAGACUCGGUAAUACCAAAUACACAAACGUUAGUCAUCAUAAAUAGGCGUAAAGGGUUUGUAGGCUGCUCAAAAAAAAAUUAUAAAAUAAGAGCUAGAAUCAAAUAGAGGUCAAUAUCAUACCUAGUGAAAGAAUUAAAUCUGUAAAUAUUAGGGGGAAUACUAGAAGCGAAGGCGAUUUUCCAUUUAAUGAUUGACGCUGAGACACGAAGGUUGGGGCAGGAAAUAGGAUUAGAUACCCUAGCACUCCCAACUGUAAACGAUGAAUGGUAGGUGUUAAUUAUAUUAAAAUUAGCACCGAUGUGAACACGUUAACCAUUCCGCCUUGUGAGUAUACUUGCAAAAGUGAAAACAAAAAAAUUAGUCGGCCCCGAAGCAAACGAAGUGAAGCAUGUUAUUUAAUUCGAUAAUCCGC
rnacentral:rRNA from 1 species